rnacentral:lncRNA from 10 species
GGCGCUGCGAGGAAGGCGAGGCGGCUAACGGCUCGCCUCAAGUUGUUGCUCCCGCUGGCGAUCCGCUUCUGUCAGUCUCGCUGCUGGUGUCGUUGAGUGUGUUUCGGGAUGUCCUUGCGCCUAACAGCAGUGAGGCGCAGAAUUGGCCCACGCCCUCACCUGCGGCUUGCUUCGCAGGACUCCACCCCAGGAUAAAAGUUCCCCUCGGGUCAUCUUCCAGCUGCCCUCAAAAGACACUCAUUUUUGGGUUUCACUGCUCCUCUUUAAGAGAGCUAUCUUGAACACUUUGACUAAAAGCAUCUUGCUCCUGUAAGCCUGAACUAAUGCCUCUCAUCCGUUUAUCUUGCCUCUUACUGCGUUAAGAUCCCCGCUCACUCCCACUGAUGAAAUAUCACAAGGACGCAGGAUUUUCACGUUGUCUUUCAUUUCCACGAUGGUAUCAUGGCAAAAAAACCCCCAACUGAUAAGGAAAAGUCACCGCAGCUUUGUGACAUCUUACUAGCCCUGAUCAUUGCUUAUAAGCCGGUCAUACGAAUGCUGUUCCAACAGAUGCAAGAAAUUGCUAUUAAAAUUAAAAUGCCAGCGAACUAUCUGAGGGCUUCAAAAGGGACAGACCAUAAUUGCAAAUGAGGCCUGAUAAACUGCCAAGAAUAUAUCACCCAAAAAAAUAAAUCUCAAGAAUUCUUCCAGUUCCCUGAUGCGUAAUGGUGAACUAGCUUCCUGUUCCUGAUGAUGAGAAAAAGGAAGCUAGAACCAGAACAAUCUUUCUCCAGAUUCUCCUAUUCAGUAACUUUCUUUACAACUAAGGACAAAUUCCUUGAGAAGUGGUCUACAGCCACUUCAUUCACUAAGUCACUAUCUGACCUCCAAGUUAAUCUCCAUUCCCAUCAAUCCUACAAAUAUUCCUGUUGCUAAUGCCGUCUAUGAAAUAGACAAACCCCAUAAUUAUGCUUAAAUAAUUAUGGGACUAUUUCACUCUGAAACUGAGUGAAUAGUCCCCACUGGGACUAUUGGACUGAUUAAACCUUUGGAUAUUUAUUCAAAGCAUCCCUCUUCAAACCAAAAUUCUGUAAUAAAACUGUCUGCUUCACUUGGACCCUACAUGGCACCUGAUACAAGCCAAAUUACUGUUAUUCAAAUAAAACAUUUUUAACAAUAUGUUUGAAUGAAUAAUUAUUACUUUUAGAAAUAGAUAUAAAAGAUUAUUAAAUAUUUUUAAUUUUUCUUUUCAAGUUGGUA